GUAGUGUAGAGAAAUGGCUGGUCACUUGCCACCCUGAGUGGGAAUCAGGCUGCUGUUGAGAAGCCGCUGGGGUGCCGUGCUGCCCCAGGGAACGGAACCGUGACAUCAGCUCAAGCAUGAAGUCGUAACAAUGCCACUGCUUUCCCAAAAGGCCACGGUCUGUGGGAAGGAACACAACUGCAAUUCUUGAUGCGAGUUUUUCAUGCCUUUGUGUGUGACUGAUGCAGGAAAAGGCUCAGUUUCUACUACGAAUCACCUGAAAGCGCUCGAGGUAUCGGGGAAGCUUGGACUGUUCUGGUUCCUCAGUGUCUAGCUGCUCCACCAGGUUUGCUGAGCCCAAGCCAUCUUCACCUUCCUGAGGCUGUGCCUCUGAAGUCUGGACAUCUGGAGACGUCACCACCUUCAGGACUCCAUCCAGCACAUCGAGCUGUAGGGCACAGGAGAGUCAGGAGGACAUCUGUUAUAGACUUGACUGUGUGCAGGCCAACUUCAAAGUGUGUGUUCCUUGGUUAUAAUGACUGAGAAAGAGCAUUAAUGAUAUCAGCAUAAUGUGCCAUGGGAGACACUGGGUUGAGGACCUCAGGACAGAAAUGAAAGCUGAGUGGUGAGCCUUGGCAUUUCAGAGUCAAGGCCACACAGAAGAGCAUCUCCAAGGGUGUAGGCUAGGCAGCUAGCCAGCUCCCAGGGCUUCAUGUCUCUCUGCUCCCUCCCUGCCAUUACCGGACGAUAACUGCACUCCUGGGCCUGGCUUUUUAAGUGGUUCUGGGGAUCUGAACUCAGCUAGAUUCCAUCAUUCUAGUUCCUCUUGUAUGGCCCAUGGAAUCCUCUAGAGUGAGGUUUACCAGAGAGAAGGGAGAGCGCCUUGAUUUCUGCAAGCAAACUGGCAGGUUAUAGCCAGCCACUACACGAUGUCCCCCUGCACCUGGUGCCACAGCUGAGGCCACAUCUCAACAGAUGUCACUACCACUGAAGCAGCGGGCUGCCAGGACCGGCAAACUGCGCAAAUAUAGAAAAGAUGGACAACGCCGCUCAAAUAACCCUGGCCCUGCUGUGCGCAGGGCAGUGGAAGGCAGCCUGCAGCUCAGCCUCUGUGGCUGUGCACUUCUUGGAGGAAGGAGGAACACAGGAGGGGAUGGAAGGAGCAUGCGCAGUCCAGCUCUCACUCUGACUCUAUGGUUAGCACCCACGCAGAAGAGAUCGCUGUCCCCAGUGCUAACUGGGGCUGUCAGAGCUUUCUAGAAGCCCAACCACGGGUAAGCCAACAGCAGGAGCUGAGACUCGUCCUCUCGGCCCAGCAGGUCUAAGCAGUAUGGAACUGCCCAGCAGUAUGGAACUGCUCAGCAGUAUGGAACUGCCCAGCAGUAUGGAACUGCCCAGCAGUAUGGAACUGCCCAGCAGUAUGGAACUGCCCAGCAGUAUGGAACUGCCCAGCAGUAUGGAACUGCCCAGCAGUAUGGAACUGCUCAGUCACCUGGUUUACUGCUCACCCAAGGCUACAGCACCAAGAGGCAGAGAGCAGAAUCACGGCUUGUCAGUCAGACAGGGGUCCAAAAGCCUAGGUCACCUUUGAUUUCUUAGAAGGUAAGGGAAGUCACUUAGAAGAGAUCAUCAAAAGGGAAAGGAAAAGGAAAAGGAGAAGGAGGAGGAGGAGGAGGAGGAGGAGGAAAAGGAAAAAGAAAAAGACCAGAGUGCGACUUUAUAGUUAUUUAUGACCAACUGAAUCAUUUAAUCAAAAACAACAAAACAGUGGGCUCUGGCUGUCCUUCCACAGGCAUCAAAUGACUCAUUAUCUUACAAUGGCAAAGCGGCCACCCUCACCAGUCUUUAGGAUCAACUACAAAUGCUGCAGGCCUAAAGCACGGUGCCGGGGCCCACAGCCCUGCAGCAGCUAACACUUAGCUACAGCACAGGCUCUGCACACGGAUGAGCAGGCUUUCCACAUGGUUUCCCUGAUUCUAUGAGCCACCAGCCAAGCCUAGGCAUACACACACUUGCCAGUUCCCAGUAGGUUCUGUAUUCUGUGGCAACAGGCAUUCCAGAUGGGACUCUCGGCCUCUAAGUGAGGCAGACGUGGAGGAGGGGCAGUAGAGAAGGCUGCCAAGGAGAAGAUUCGGCCAGUUCCAUGGACUGUGGUGUGGAGUGUGAAUCAAUUCAUAAUGCCAAGCUUGCAGUUAUCAAAAGGAUCAAGCACUUCCACUAAAAGCUAGUGUGUGACUGACCCACUGAUUCAGUUGUCACUGCCCUCUUUCUUAUCCUAAAAAGGCAAUUAGAAAGAUAAUUACUUUCUUUUCUAUCCUGCAGGAAAUUCUGCUUUCAGAAUUGUUAAUUUCAGAAUUCACAAUCUUCGAUGAUUCUUUCAGUUAUCACAAAUACAAAAUGGAAAUAUCACUACUACAGAUUAAAAUUCCUUUGUUGCUUGAGAUCCCACAUUUUAUGCUUAUGGAAGUUUCAGUUAAUUUAACUUUCAAUAAACAUAUGGUGAAGCUCU
rnacentral:lncRNA from 1 species